CUCACCUGCCGCAAGCUUGUUAAUUAUGGAAAUGUGAGUUAGAAUCAGCUGUCACUAUUAUGCAGCGGAGCCACUCUCACGAGGGAGCGAUGUGUGUGUGUGGUUUCUGCACACGUUGCCGUCAGGACUGAAUUUACUGAGGCAGAAAGAGUCUCAAGUCUCUCUCGUUCCAGGCUGAGAAUCAAUGCCACAUUGAUUUUCCUAUCAAUGGACAUUAUCAUAGAUCAGGCAUCUGCUAGCACUGGCCUCAAUCCACGUGCCGCCUGUUGCCACGGGGACAGAGAGAUUUCAUCACUCCUCGCUCUCUGACAGACAGACUGACAGAGAGAGAGAUGGCUAAAAAGCAAGGGAUGGCAGGGAAAUGCAUGCACACACGCAGAGUAGAGGAUCAAUACCUGAAGUGCAGAGGAUAUUGAGUCAGAGGGGAUG